rnacentral:rRNA from 1 species
GAUGAACGCUGGCGGCGUGCUUAACACAUGCCAGUCGAACGAGAAGUGGAGACGGAAACCUUCGGGCGGAAGACUUUAUUUCGAGUGGCGGACGGGUGAGUAACGCGUGGGUAACCUGCCUCAUACAGGGGGAUAACAGUUGGAAACGACUGUUAAUACCGCAUAAGACCACAGCACCGCAUGGUGCGGGGGUAAAAACUCCGGUGGUAUGAGAUGGACCCGCGUUCGAUUAGCCAGUUGGCGGGGUAACGGCCCACCAAAGCGACGAUCGAUAGCCGAUCUGAGAGGAUGACCGGCCACAUUGGGACUGAGACACGGCCCAAACUCCUACGGGAGGCAGCAGUGGGGAAUAUUGCACAAUGGGGGAAACCCUGAUGCAGCGACGCCGCGUGAGUGAAGAAGUAUUUCGGUAUGUAAAGCUCUAUCAGCAGGGAAGAAAAUGACGGUACCUGAGUAAGAAGCCCCGGCUAACUACGUG